UAAGGCUCAAAGAUAUGACUGUCUUCGUUGUCUGGGAACGAUGCUAUAGAUGAACAAUGGGUCGUCAGUUUAUAUCAGCCAACUAAAGACAUGGAUAACUUGUUUGAAUUUCAGAGCACGUCCUUCUCUAAAAGGAGGGAUGGACUAUGCCUCGGCCAGCCCCCCAAAACUUGCCCACUCCCAGCACAACAGUUCACUUUUACAUUUGGAGCUGAAGACAAAUAUGUUGUGGGAAAGUUUUCCCCCUCUCUCUCUCCCACCAUCAUGUGGUUGGAAUAUGCUCGAUCUUAACGGUGCAGCCGAAGCAAGCGUAAUGAGCAGAGAAUUAGCGGCAAUUUUAAAUGAAGGCACGACGAGAAACGGAUGGAUUUUCAGAGGGAAGUCUUGAAAGAACUUUCCACAUGUUCGAAAUUCUUUAUUCAGGGAUGAUUUUCAUCAGGACUGCUCAAGCCACCAGCUGUAGAAUAUGGCACACAUUUUGAAAAUGAGGCAGGGGUAAGGAAGGCCAUGGUUCAUCUGCUGGGACAGAGCAGAAGAAGACCUGUUUGAGAGUUCCUGAAGCCAGCACAAGGUGAGGGCCCCUGUAAGAGGAACCUUGGAGGGAGCAAUCUUACCAGCUGAAGAAGGCGAUGGCACAGUUUUCACGCCGUCUAGCGACAGCCUGGUGUCGUUUCACACCUGUCCUCUUAUGGUUGAUUUAAGCGGGAAAACGUCCAGUUUUCUUUGGAAUGAUGCAAAAUGAAAAUUGGCAUUAUCUGAUUUUAUCAAAAUGUAUCAAUUUGAUCAGUUUAACAGUGAAUAAUAAUUCAUUAAUUGCUUUUUACCAAUUAUGUCUCCAAAUAACGUUUGCCAAGGAGAGCUACAAGUAGGUCUAUAUUUACUGGACUUAGUAUCUGUAUCAAUUUAUAUUUUUCAUUGUUCAUUGUCAGGAGUCACAUGUACAAUAUAUUUAUUCAAUAAAGUAUUUGUUUAUUUAAAAUUAA